UCCAUGCUCACGACUCGCAAAAAACCCUUGAUUCAUGGUUCAUCUGUUCUUGUGUAUCCUUAAUAUCAAUGGAACUUGGGUGUUGAUAAGGUGUAAACCAUAAUCCACCAAAAUGGAUGAUUGAUAUUAAGGAUGACUUGAUCCAUCCCAUGACCUUUGUGUGGUGUGAUUUGCUUGAUCCUUGAGUGUGAUUGUUGCAUCCAUGCAUUCAUGCAUUCAUACACAUCCAUAUCAUCAACAAUGAGAAAACUUUCAAGGAACUUAAG
rnacentral:lncRNA from 1 species